UCUGAGUUGUGGGGAAUAAAGGGUUUGUUUUUCUUUUCUUUUUUUCUCUAUCUUUUUGUAGGAUUUACUCUUCUUUUCCUUUUUUUUGUUUUGAGUCCAGCUAUGGCUUCUCUUUAGACCCUUUGAGGGGAAGGAAAAAAAACAAGGUUUUUGAAAGAGAAUGAAGCUUGUUUGUGAAAAUUUCCCAAGUUGGUGUCUUUUAGGUUUUUUCCUUGAAAAAAGAAAAUUUGAAAUGUCGGUUUCUGGGAUUUACAGGUUAGGCUUGGCGUGAAAAUUUUUGGCUGUUUGCGAAGUUUCUUUUGAACCCGUGUUACUCUCUUGUCUUUGCUUGAAACUGACACAGGUUUUGGAAAACAAGAAAUUCUCCAAAAUGUGUCAAAUAGGAUCCACAAGCCCCUGAGUGACUGUUUGGCUGAUAUUUGAUAAGUUUUUUUUGGGGGUUUUCUUUCUUUGUUUUAUUGUGUGGUCAAGGAAGAGUUUUGAGGGUGUACAGUUUUGAAAUAUAAAAAAAUAAUAAGCAAAGUGAAGUCGGUUUUUGGUUGGGUUGAGUGUGGUUGAACAGGUGAAGUGUGAAAUGCAAGUGAAAGUCCAUAUUCUGAAUUUGAUUUAAGUUUACUUUGAGAAGUUAAGUUAUAUUCUGGGGAGCAUUUGCUUUUAGGGAUUUUGGAUUGGAAUUUCUUCAUUUUGAAGUCAUAAUUAUUAAUUCUUAAGUUGGUCUUUGUGAAUAGUUUAAAACUCUCAAGUGCUCUCCUCCAGCAGGCAAUUUCUGCUCUAAAUAUAUCUUCACCUACCUAUUGAGGAGUUUUAGAAGAAAGAGAUGCUGUUUUUGCAAGGCACCACCAGUUGAGCAGGAUUCUGUUCAGUCUUCUCUCUCAAGGGAGCUUCCUCCAUGUGAGCUUCAGUGACUGAUGGUUACAAGCUACAACUAUUUUGAAUUGAUGGUACCUCUGCAACUUAUGCUGAUUUUCUAGUGUCCUUGAAUGCUCAGUGCUUUUCCCUUAGUGUUGGUUCUAUAUAUACUUCCCAUGGCUAAAGGAUUUAACGCAUUCGUUGUUCUCGGCAUAAUUUUGCUCUUAAUCAAUCAAUCGGAGCAACUACAAUCCUCCCAGACUCAAACCCUUUUAAGACUUCAGCUGCUUUUGAAUUAUCCUGAUGUUUUAAGUAGCUGGAAUAGUUCGGUCGACUUCUGCAAUGCCGAACCUACCUCCCAAGUAACCGUUGUAUGCUACGAAGAAAGCAUAACUCAGUUGCAUGUAAUUGGAAACGAUGGAACUCCUUCGUUACCUAGUAACUUUUCCAUGGAUUCCUUUGUCACAACACUUGUUAAGCUUCCUGAUUUGAGAGUCCUUACAUUGGUCUCUCUUGGUCUAUGGGGGCCGUUGCCUGGUAAAAUUGCGCGUUUGUCAUCAUUAGAAAUACUUAAUAUGACUUCAAAUUUACUAUAUGGAACCAUCCCUCAUGAGCUUUCCGGUGUAACUACCCUCCAGACACUCAUACUUGAUGAUAACAUGUUCUCAGGUUGGCUACCUGAAUGGCUAGGUUCAUUUCCGGUUUUGGCUGUUUUGAGCUUGAGGAAUAAUUCAUUCAAUGGCUCUUUGCCUGAUUCUUUUAGCAUUUUGGAGAAUCUCAGAGUUCUUGCUCUUUCACAUAAUCACUUCCAAGGGGAACUGCCUGAUCUUAGCAGUUUGACAAAUCUUCAAGAGCUUGAUCUCGAAGAUAAUGCUUUUGGACCUCAGUUUCCUCGGCUUGGCAACAAGUUGGUUCGCCUUGUACUGGGAAAGAACAGGUUCAGAUCUGCCAUUCCUACUGAACUGAACUCAUUUUACCAACUUCAUUGGCUGGACCUGUCAUUCAAUCGAUUUGUUGGGCCAUUUCCUUCCUCAUUGUUAUCCCUACCUUCCAUUACCUACUUGAAUAUAGCAGACAACAAACUCACCGGGAUGCUAUUCGAGAAUACUAGUUGCAAUGUGGAACUCAAGUUUGCGGAUUUCUCCUCGAACCUUUUGACCGGACUCUUGCCUAGUUGUCUUUCAGAUUCUAAAGACAGAGUUUUCCUGUAUGCACAGAAUUGCCUCGCAACCGGAAAAGAAAACCAACAUCCACUUCCCUUCUGUCGAAAUGAAGCCUUAGCUGUGGGAAUCUUUCCUCAUAGUAAGAAGUCCAAACCUUCAAACUUUGCUCUUGCAUUCGGUAUAACUGGAGGAAUCAUUGGUGGAAUAGUGCUUCUGGGUCUCAUUUUCAUAUUUGUUAGGAGAUUGAAUGAAUAUAAGACAAUCAAUAAACCUACUACAAGAUUGAUUUCCGAGAAAGCAUCAAUUGCAUACACAUCAAAGUUAUUAUCCGAUGCAAGGUACAUAUCUCAAACAAUGAAGUUGGGAGCACUCGGACUUCCACCUUAUCGAACCUUUGCACUAGAAGAACUCGAGGAUGCUACGAAUAACUUCGACACAACUGCUUUCAUGGGUGAAGGUUCUCAAGGGCAGAUGUAUAGGGGUCGUCUGAAAGAUGGCACCUUUGUGGCCAUUAGAUGCCUGAAAAUGAAGAAAAGCCAUAGCACUCAAAGCUUUAUGCACCAUGUAGAGCUGAUUUCAAAAUUAAGAUAUCGCCAUUUAGUCAGUGCUCUUGGUCACUGCUUUGAGUGCUACUUGGAUGACUCGAGUGUCAGCCGGAUAUUUCUCAUCUUCGAAUACGUGCCAAAUGGCACUCUAAGGAGCUGGAUAUCUGAAGGACAUGCCGGACGAUCACUGACAUGGCCGCAACGCAUAUCUGCUGCGAUAGGGAUCACAAAGGGCAUCCAAUUUUUGCAUACGGGGAUCAUUCCCGGCGUGUACUCAAAUAAUCUGAAAAUAACCGAUGUUUUGAUGGACCAGAAUCUUGUAGCUAAGAUUAGUAGUUACAACCUGCCCUUAUUAGCAGAGAGUGCAGGAAAGGUAGAUCACAGGACUUCUGCUCUACCAAAAGACUCGAGUAGCAGAACAAGGGCAAGUUAUGAAGAUAAGGCUGAUGUCUAUGAUUUCGGAGUGAUUUUACUAGAAAUGAUUCUAGGGAGGCCAUCAAAAGCCAAGAGUGAAGUCGAAAUCCUUAAAAAUCAGUUACAAGCAGUUGUAGCAACUGAUGAUGCAACUAGAAGAAGCAUAGCUGAUCCAGCAGUUCAGACAUCUUGCUCGGAUCAGUCAUUAAAAACAAUGAUGGAAAUUUGUGCCCGAUGUCUGCUAAAGGACCCUGCAGAGAGACCCUCUGUUGAGGACGUGAUGUGGAACUUGCAAUUUGCUGCUCAAGUUCAGGAUGCAUGGCGUGGAGAUUCCCAGAGCAGUUCUCCUGGCUGCUCUCCUUCCCAACCUGCUAUCCUCCCUGUUGCCUUCCAUUAGUGAUAACUUUCAGGAUAUGGCAACACAAGUGGAACCCUUUGUUUGUUUGGGAGGAUAGAGAAGACAAAGGUUGGAAAAGCGUUUAAUCUGAUGGUUUCGUAUAAAAUACGAAGUUUCAGAACUUAACCAUUGGACUAAAAGAUAAGCACGUAUCGAGGUUAUGUGCUAGCAAAUUAUUCAUAAAGAUGCAUUUGACGGGUAAAAAUACAGGAAAGAAUUGAGUUCAACAUCAAGAAACCAGCAAAAACCCAAACUUGGAAAUCGAAACAUUCAAAGACGUCAACAACUUUGACCAAAAUAGAUUAUAAAAAGGUAAAGUUGCAUAGAAUGCAGCACCUGGAUCCACGUGCGUAUAGCUGCAACAUGUUUUUUUGUGAACGAAACCUGUUGGUGUUAUAGUUGGUGUGUUGAAAAAUAUGGAACUCGUAAUUGAAUGCGGGAGUGCCUAUUCCCUUGCCGUUUAAGACAGUUCCAUAUGAUGUUGCCGUUUAAGAUAGUUUCCAUAUGAUUUAUGGGUUAUGCUUUAUGCUGAUUAUGCGGAUGAUAUUUAGGCCAUGAAUGUAGAUCAUAUCACUUAGGAAAAUAUAUUUGAAGGAUCGAAUCGGAUCUCCAUAUCUAAUCAUUAGAUAAGAAGGUUGGAUUGAAUUGAAUCAUUAUUGUAUUUAGCUAGUUAACAUGUUGUUUAAUAGGGAUUAUGAUAGAUUUCGUUAGACUUGUAUAGGUUAUGUACCUACACUAACUCUGUUAAAGUGAGUAACUAUUUUUUGUGAGUGCA